rnacentral:rRNA from 1 species
UACGGGGGGAGCAAGCGUUGUUCGGAUUUACUGGGCGUAAAGGGCGCGUAGGCGGUCGUGACAAGUCACUUGUGAAAUCUCCGGGCUUAACUCGGAACGGUCAAGUGAUACUGUCGGACUAGAGUACAGAAGGGGCAACUGGAAUUCUCGGUGUAGCGGUGAAAUGCGUAGAUAUCGAGAGGAACACCUGCGGCGAAGGCGGGUUGCUGGGCUGACACUGACGCUGAGGCGCGAAAGCUAGGGGAGCGAACGGGG